GAUAGUAUCUGAACCAAAUGCUUACAAGCAGUCGGAGCAAGCGUAUUUAUAUGUCUUGUGACGGCGUACCUUUUGUAUAAUGGGUCAGCGACUUAGUUUAUCUAGCAAGCUUAAGCCGUUAGGUGUAGGCGUAGCGAAAGCGAGUCUGAAUAGAGCGUUUAGUUAGAUGAAUUAGACCCGAAACCGGGUGAUCUAGCCAUGGCCAGGUUGAAAGCGGAGUAAAAUCCGCUGAAGGACCGAACCCACUACUGUUGAAAAAGUAGGGGAUGAGCUGUGGUUAGGGGUGAAAGGCCAAUCAAACUCGGAUAUAGCUGGUUCUCCGCGAAAUCUAUUUAGGUAGAGCGUUAUAGCGAUUACUGUCGAAGGUAGAGCACUGAAUGAGCUAGGGGGUCCCACAGACUUACCAAACUCAAUCAAACUCCGAAUGUCGACAAGUACAGCAUAGCAGACAGACUAUGGGUGCUAAGGUCCAUAGUCGAGAGGGAAAAAGCCCAGACCGUCAUCUAAGGUCCCUAAAUCAUGACU
rnacentral:rRNA from 1 species